UUUCCGUAGGUGAACCUGCGGAAGGAUCAUUAAAGAUUCUGGCAUUCGUGCCUAACCUCUUCAGCUGUGCACUUCGGCUGCACGCUGUUGAAUAUCCCACACCUGUGCACUUCUUCGGUUGCAGUCCCUCGGAUUGCUUCCGCCUUUUACAUUCAACUACAAGUCUUGUAUGUCUAAUACUAUAAAGUAACAACUUUCAACAACGGAUCUCUUGGCUCUC
rnacentral:misc_RNA from 1 species